GACGAACGCUGGCGGCGUGCUUAACACAUGCGAGUCGAACGGAAAGGCCCUGCGUUUGUGGGGUGCUCGAGUGGCGAACGGGCGAGUAACACGUGAGUAACCUGCCCUUGACUUUGGGAUAACUUCAGGAAACUGGGGCUAAUACCGGAUAGGAGCUCCUGCUGCAUGGGGGGGGUUGGAAAGUUUCGGCGGUUGGGGAUGGACUCGCGGCUUAUCAGCUUGUUGGUGGGGUAGUGGAUUACCAAGGCUUUGACGGGUAGCCGGCCUGAGAGGGUGACCGGCCACAUUGGGACUCAGGUACGGCCCAGACUGCUACGGGAGGCAGCAGUGGGGAAUAUUGCACGAUGGGCGGAAGCCUGAUGCAGCAACGCCGCGUGCGGGAUGACGGCCUUCGGGUUGUAACCCGCUUUCGCCUGUGACGAAGCGUGAGUGACGGUAAUGGGUAAAGAAGCACCGGCUAACUACGUG
rnacentral:rRNA from 1 species